rfam:Plicaturopsis crispa FD-325 SS-3 unplaced genomic scaffold PLICRscaffold_109, whole genome shotgun sequence.
AGCGAGAUGGUGUAAUGGUAGCACAACAGCCUCAUGAGUUGUUAGAGUAUGUUCAAUUCCUACUUUCGCUA